rnacentral:pre_miRNA from 1 species
AAAAAUACAAACUCUGGGUUUCUGUGCCUAACUUUGACUGUCCGUCUUAUAUGAAUUUUUUUUAUAAUUUGUAUUUUUAUUGUUGUUAGAUGAUAAAACAUGAUUAAUAUUUUAUGUGUGACUUUUUUUUAACGUUUUUUCAUAAUUUUUUCAAAUAAGACGGACGGUUAAACAUUGGACACGGAAAUCAGGGUUUGUCUUUUU